ACUUGUGCUCUUGCGUUAUGGAGUCUGUAUGAAGAAGACUUUCUGAGCAUAAAUUCCUGAGAAGUUGGGGAGGAUGGGCUUCUGAAUACAGAUGGGUGAAGUGGAUUGGGUAAGAAGAGAGACACCAGGUCUAAUGUUGCCUAAAAGAGGGAGGAGAGGAACUGAAUAUAAAAUAGUCCUGGAAACAGAUUGUUUGGUCUGAGUAUAUCAUUGAAGACCAUUUCAAAUCAGAUAUUUCCAGGGCAACUCCUCACUCCGUGCUCCCAGUUAUAAGUCUCCAGAGGGUCUGGGAGUUAGAGGGAAAGGGCUGUUUUAAGACAUUCCACAAGUAAUCCUGCUAUGGCCAAGAGGAGAGACAAUUUCACACCUGCCUCUUCAAGUUGACUUUGGACUCCCAUACCUUUUUCCAUUUGGAAUCGCGUCAAUCAGUUUUACAGCUGAAGGCAGUGACGUGCUGACAGAAGGUGAAUGCUACGCGAUCUGCUUUAUGAUUACAUUUGCUGUUUACUGCUCUAAAGUUUGGAGAAAUUAUUUUCUUUUCAAACUGGGAAUGAAAGAUUCAUAAAUAUUAAUCUCAGUUAAUAAUAUUGUGGGAACCCUGGAUGCCAGAGGCUAAGUUUGAGUGGUAAAUAGAACUCAGCAGAAUUGAUUGUGUGUCACUUCUGAGAUUCUGUCAUAAAAGACGCUACAGUUUCCAUCCUGGCCAUGCCUUUUCUCAUGCCUUUUCCUCUUGAUUCAUUUCCACCAUGAGAUAAAAAACUCUACAGAGAAGUCCAUGUGGCAACUGGUCUGAGACUACUGUCCAAAGCCAGUGGAGACCUACUGCCGGCAGUCAAUGUUUCAUGUUCAAGAAUAUAUUCAUCAAACUCCAAGAGUUUUGGCCAGACUUCAGAUAACAGCCAAUGAGUCACUUUAAAAGAUGUCAAUGGAAAGUCCCAGGAGACCAUCUUAGCUCCAAAAGAAAAUAUCCCCACUCGAUGCUAUUUUGCUGGUUGAAGGGAGAAGAUUUGUCCUUCUCUUAAGCCAACUACUAAGGGAAUUCCUUAAUCCCCUUCUCUAAGCAGCUCACUCCAUCUGUGCUGACAGCAGAAUCAUACUGCUGUGGAUAUAGCAAGAAAGGAUUUUGAUUAUGAUGAUUUAAGAAAAUUCUAUCCAUAUAAAGUUUCCAUAGCUUGGGAAAUUAUUGAAUUUCUAAAGUGAUAUCAUAUUAUUUUUAUUUCUCAUUAGUUAUUCACUGUUUCAGUUACCUGCUGUCACCAUAAGAAGCUCCAUUAGAAGCAAGUACAGAAUCUCAAUAGAGCAUAUACAGCAACAAGCAUGCAUUGCUCAUAUUCCUGAAUUGAUCAGGUUAGAAGACUACUUAUCUUGGCUGGGCUCUUUCAUAGGUGGUAUCAAUAGGCUGCUGGACAAUCUAGGAUGACCUUGGCUAGAUUUGCUCAUACACUUGUAGGUCAGCUGGCUGACUCAUGAGUCUGUGGAUUGGUUCUGAUCAAUAUGAUUCAUCUUCCUCCGAGGAACAGUAGGUUAGGGCAGACUUAUGUUUUAGUUUGUUUGUUUGCUUGCUUGUUUGUUUGUUUAUGGGAAUGGCAGAUAACAAAAGAAAAUAUCUCUAAAGUCCAAGCUCAUUUCAUGCCUCUGCUUAUAUUGCAUAUGCUAAAAUAUUUUUGUUCAAAGCAAACAACAUGGCAAUUCAAGAGCUGAGUGGGAGGACACUACAAAGUUACAUGACAAAAUCCUUAGAGUCAGGGACAUUAAUGCAUUAAAUUACCACAUUUAUUGUACACAUAGAAGGAAGAUAUUUAAGGAGAUGGACAUUGCAAGUCCAAAUAGUAUAAAACAUUCAGAAAAAAAAUUUGUAGUAUUACCUCUUGGAAGUCUUCUAAGCGAAGUCAAAACUGCUGGUACAGUUGGUGAAGAGACAUAUCUGAGGGAAAAUUGCUACUCCCAUGAAUUGCUUUCUGUUAGGAAAUCAAGAUUACCUAAGUUUUUGUAUUAGUUCUGUUUUCAGAACAAAGUAUAGAUCUUCUGCAAAUUAUUUUAAGAUUAUUUCCAGUAAUUCAUCAUAAAUUGAAAAUGACCCAAUUUUAUAAUGUAUUUACUGUACCUAACCGAUCAAACACCAUAGCUUAGCAUGGCUUACCUUAAAUGUACCCAGAAUAUUACAGCAACCUCGCUGGUCUCAGGGGUUAACUUGCUUCAUGUUAACACAGUCCUUGCUUGUUGCAUUAAUGUCCUUGAUCUGUAACAGACUGAAUUUACUUUCUUUGAGAUUUGCAAACUACUGGCCUUGGGGAAUAAAGGACCAGAAUGUUGCCAGGCCACAGAGGCCAGCAAGUCUGUUUCGUAUUGAAACAGAUUAACUCAAUAAUCUUUUAGCAAAAUGUUUUUCUUUUUUAAGAUCGCACAAAUGACUUUACUGGCUUCCCUUUGUACAUCUGUAGACCUUGCCCUCUUUUGUAGAAAGAACAGAGUACUCUUGUACAACUUCUGGGUACCAAGGAACCAGACUUUCUUGCACAACCUCUGAGCACCGAGAUGAUGCUGUAGCUGGUGUUAAGUCUGCAGGAAGUGAAGAAAUGUCACAGAUCACUACACUCCCUUAACCGAUUGAACACCUUUAAAAAUCUCUGGGCCAGGCAGAAACCUGAGAGUUGGCCUUUGGACAAGAGCCCAACUUCUCCCCAGAUAAAGUCUCAGCUUCCUGAAUAAAACUCAUAUUCUUUCCCAAUCAAAACUCAUCUCUUGAGUAUUGGCCUUUCCAGCGAGAGGCAGCCGAACUUGGGUUUUGGUAACAAGAACACUUAGGUUAACCUACAAUUGGACAAAAUCAUCUAACACAAAGCUUAUUUUAUAAUAAACUGUUGAAUAUCUUAUGUAACCUUUUGAAUACUGUACUGAAAGUAAGUAAGAAAUGGAAUGGUUGUAUGGGUAUGGAAAGGUUGUAAGUGUAUUGGUUGCUUUACCCUCAUGAUCAAGUGGCUAACAGAGUGCAGCUUGCCCGCUGCUGCCCAGCAUCUGGAAGAGUAUUUCACUGCCUUAUCACCAGCCCAGGAAAAGAUCAAAAUUAAAAUUUUAAGUACUAUUUCUAA